rnacentral:rRNA from 1 species
UACAGAGGGGGCAAGCGUUGUUCGGAAUUACUGGGCGUAAAGGGCUCGUAGGUGGCCAACUAAGUCAGACGUGAAAUCCCUCGGCUUAACCGGGGAACUGCGUCUGAUACUGGAUGGCUUGAGAUUGGGAGAGGGAUGCGGAAUUCCAGGUGUAGUGGUGAAAUGCGUAGAUAUCUGGAGGAACACCGGUGGCGAAGGCGGCAUCCUGGACCAACACUGACGCUGAGGAGCGAAAGCCAGGGGAGCAAACGGG